AAGCGGAACAGAAGAAGGAAAGUCUCAGCUCCUAUUCCCACCGGUUGCUCUCUGUUUCUGCUGCGAGCUUGGUGGGGAAGCGAUUUUCGGGCCCCGCGCAAGACAGGGGGGCCCCCUGCGGGCGGGAUCCCUCUGCCUCCGGGGAAGCGGCUGCUGCUCCGCCUUCGCCCAGGCGCUGAGAGCCGGCCUUUACUGCUUCCUUCUCUGCCGUUCGCUUCAAAAUGGGGCACAGACACCGUCUCCCGAAGUCCCAAAAGCAGGAGGGGCGUCCGUUCGGAGCGCGGUCCGGCUCGGUGCCGAGUUUUCUCAAGCGCGAAAGCGCGGGUGGUUUACGGAUCAGCGGCUCGGCGAAGGUGCGACAUCCCCAAAAUUUGUCCUCACCCAGGAGGGAAAAAGUUCUGUGAGAGCUGGUCGGCGGGGAGCACAUCGGGAAGAAAUCGUAUCGGGAUUGUAGUGAUCACAUUGGGGAGAGGAGAUCACAUCGGGGAGUGGGGAUCACAUCGGGGAGUGGGGAUCACAUCGAGAGAGUGGGAUCACAUCGGGGAGAGGAAAUCACAUCGGGGAGAGGAGAUCACAUCGGGGAGUGGAUGUCACAUCGGGGAGUGGGGAUCACAUCGAGAGAGUGGGGAUCACAUCGGGGAGAGAAGAUCACAUCGGGGAGUGGGGAUCACAUCGGGGAGUGGGGAUCACAUCGAGAGAGUGGGGAUCACAUCGGGGAGAGAAGAUCACAUCGGGGAGUGGAUGUCACAUCGGAGGAGUGGAGAUCACAUCGGGGAGUGGGGAUCACAUCGAGAGAGUGGGGAUCACAUCGGGGAGAGAAGAUCACAUCGGGGAGUGGGGAUCACAUCGGGGAGUGGGGAUCACACCAGGGAGAGGAGAUCACAUCGGGGAGUGGGGAUCACAUCGAGAGAGGGGGGAUCACAUCAGGGAGAGGAGAUCACAUUGGGGAGUGGAUGUCACAUCGGAGGAGUGGGGAUCACAUCGGGGGAGAGGGGGAUCAUAUCGGGGGAGGCAGCAUGA
rnacentral:lncRNA from 1 species